GAGAGUAUAUUAGGACAUGUUUGUUUUUAAACUCUUCACUUCAUCAGCCAUGGAGAAAACUGUGCUGAUCUUGUUGUGUCUGCAGGCUUUCCUGCUCAUCACAGCCUUCACCUCUACUGAUGCAGCCACUCUGGUAAAAGAUGAUCAUCUUCCUCUUGAUCAGGGAAGAAAACCAGUGAAUUCGAGAAGUUGGAUCGCCUGCUGGGGAAGACCAGGAGCAUGUGGCCCUAUACAACCCUCGAUCUCUCCUGAAAAACCCAAUUUAAAUUUGUCAAGGAAAUAAAGAGUUCGUCAACAUGAAACUUGAUCAACAGAAGUUUGAAACAAGCUUUUCCAGAACUGCCUUGCUACGAUUAAAAGGGGAAAUGAAUAUGCUGUAUGCUGUAAUGCUAAAAAUGAAGUGUGCUAUGAUUUGUUUGUUUGCAAAAUAAAAGAUUUCAAAUCAGA